rnacentral:rRNA from 1 species
GGGAAUAUUGCACAAUGGGCGCAAGCCUGAUGCAGCCAUGCCGCGUGUAUGAAGAAGGCCUUCGGGUUGUAAAGUACUUUCAGCGGGGAGGAAGGGAGUAAAGUUAAUACCUUUGCUCAUUGACGUUACCCGCAGAAGAAGCACCGGCUAACUCCGUGCCAGCAGCCGCGGUAAUACAGAGGGGGCAAGCGUUGUUCGGAAUUACUGGGCGUAAAGGGCGCGUAGGCGGCCUGCUAAGUCGAACGUGAAAUCCCUGGGCUCAACCCAGGAACUGCGUCCGAUACUGGUUGGCUUGAAUCCGGGAGAGGGAUGUGGAAUUCCAGGUGUAGCGGUGAAAUGCGUAGAUAUCUGGAGGAACACCGGUGGCGAAGGCGACAUCCUGGACCGGUAUUGACGCUGAGGCGCGAAAGCCAGGGGAGCAAAC